GCGGAGCAGAGAGAGUGUACGUCAUUACGCCACUCGUGUCACUAGUGAAGUGGGUGCUUGAACGCACCAGGUUAAAUCCUUAGCCAACGCGGGCGUCAAGCAAAGUAGAUUGAAGAGAAUCCGGCGCAAUUCAUUUUUGGUAGCGCUACGCGGCCAGAAGCCAGCAGACACUGCUGCACCCCUUUCUCCCUCAAAUUUUUUUUAAAAAAUUGAAAUAAAUUUUUUAUAUAUUUUUUAUUUUUUUGCUUUUUCCUACACUGUUGCUCCAAACUCAACAGUCAAUGUUUGUUGGAGAGGAAACGUGCAAGUAUAGACGGACCAUUUCAGAGCAACAAUGAGCACAUCAAAACCCAGUGGACUCAAAGCACCCAGCAAAAUUGGCAGACAAGCCAAUGCUGGGGUCACAAAGACGUCUCCUUCUGUAGGUGACAAAUCCUCAGCUGAAGCCCAAGAUGCAGGAGAGCAGUUCAAGAUCGAGGAUCGUGUCUGGGUUAACGGCAACAAGCCAGGUGUCAUUCAGUUUUUAGGAGAGACCCAGUUUGCCCCGGGCCAGUGGGCUGGAAUUGUACUUGAUGAGCCAAUUGGGAAAAACGAUGGUUCUGUGUCAGGUGUGCGCUAUUUUCAGUGUGAACCGUUGAAGGGUAUUUUCACACGGCCGUCCAAGCUUUCACGCACAGAAGGUGAGGAGGACAGCACAACGACGGCUCCUCCGUCCCGUGCUGCAUCACCCACACCCUCUACUACAUCAGUGUCUGCUUCAACCAAGAAACCAGCUUCACCCACUAAAGCUGCUACACCAGCCUCAGACCUGGUGCGGUCAAAGAGCGAGUCAGUGUCCAAUCUGUCAGAGACUGGAUCGGUCAAGAAAGGUGAUCGGGAGCUAAAGAUCAACGAUCGAGUGCUGGUUGCUGGCACAAAAGCUGGUGUAGUGCGUUUCUUAGGCGAAACCGAUUUUGCCAAGGGUGAGUGGUGUGGAGUUGAGCUGGAUGAGCCCUUGGGAAAGAACGAUGGUGCUGUGGCUGGAACCAGGUAUUUCCAGUGUCAGCCCAAAUACGGUCUGUUUGCACCAGUGCACAAGGUGACCCGUAUAGGUUUUCCCUCCACUACCCCAGCCAAGGCAAAGACCACUGUGCGGAAGACAGCGGCCACACCAUCAGGACUAAAACGCAGCCCCAGUGCCUCCUCCAUCAGCUCCAUGAGUUCUGUGGCCUCAUCUGCUAGUUGCAAGCCAAGCCGAACAGGACUAUUGACAGAGACGUCUACAAGGUAUGCGAGGAAGAUCUCUGGCACUACGGCACUUCAGGAAGCCCUGAAGGAGAAACAGCAACACAUUGAGCAACUCCUUGCCGAGCGUGACCUGGAGAGAGCUGAGGUUGCCAAGGCAACCAGCCAUGUGGGCGAAGUGGAGCAAGAGCUUACGUUACUGAGAGAAGGCCAGGAGCAGUAUGUAUUGGAUGUUGAUGCCAAAAUGGACCAGCUGCGAGCGCUUGUGGAGGCUGCGGACAGAGAGAAGGUGGAACUGCUCAACCAACUGGAGGAGGAGAAAAGGAAGGUGGAGGACCUGCAGUUUCGGGUGGAGGAAGCUUGCAUUACCAAAGGAGAUUUGGAGACGCAGACGCAGCUGGAGCAUGCCCUUCUUAAGGAGCUUGAACAGAGUCUUCUCUUUGAAAAGACCAAAGCUGACAAACUUCAGAGGGAGUUAGAAGACUCUAGGGUGGCCACAGUCUCUGAGAAGUCCCAUAUAUUGGAGUUGGAGCGGGAUCUUGCGUUGAGGGACAAGGAGGUAGCUGCACUUCGUAAGUCACUGGAAGCUUUACCAGGGCAGGAUGGGGUUACUGACUCCACCACGGCAGUACUCCAGGAGGAACUCUGUUCCCUCCGUACACAGCUGGCCGCUCAAAGUGACAGUCACCAAGCAGAGCUGUCUUCCUUGCGUGAGAUGCUUGCGGCUCGAGAAAAAGAACAAAGUGAAUCUCUGUCACAACUCCAGUCAUCCUCAGGUCGCUUAUCGAAGGAUAACGAGCAGCUUUUAUGUCAGCUGGUGAAAUCCAAGGAGGAGAAUUCAAAUAUCAUUGAGGAGUGGCAUGCUAAACUAGCAUCAGUUGAGGCCUCACAUCAGCAAGCCUUGGAGGAGCUCAAAACCUCCCAUGAGGCAAGCAAAUCUGAGCUGCUGGAGGUACACAGUGCUCUGGAACAGUUGAAAUUAACACAUAAACUGGAGCUCGAAGAGCUUGCUAACAAACAUGCUUCUGAAACCAUGGAGUGGACGGGUGAAGCCAAAGAACACAAGGCACAGCUCCUGAAAGUCACCGAAGAGAACGAACGGCUGGUAGAAACGCUACGCACCAAUUUGGAGAAGGCAGAGGAGCAGCACCUGGUGGAAAUGGAGGAUGUCUUGGGAAAACUUCACAGUGCUGAGCUCAGGGUAAAAGAGCUAGAGGACGCGGGAGUUAAGUUAGGGCAGCAGUUGGAUGAAAAGUCACAAGAAGCUCUGGAGCAAAAAACAGCCGUUCAGACUCUGCAGUCACAGCAAAGUCAAGGGAACCAAGAGAUGCAAAGGUUAUUGACCCAAAUAGAGGAGGCAAAAAGCCAAUCCAGAUCUCAGGAAGAAAAGGUCACUGAGUUGAACUCCGUACUAGAGGGUAAACAGCAAGAGCUGAAUGGCCUGUUGCAGGAAAAGAGCUCUCUGGAGCAAGAAGUUAGUGAGCUGAAACAGACUCUUGAAAAAACAUCUAAUGAUCAAGCCAAAUCUGCUCAGACUAAUCAAGAAUUACGUGAAGAGCUCAGGAAUAAAGAUGAACAAUGCACAUCUCUCUCUGCUGAAUUACAGGAUAUGAAGAGUCAGUUUGCUGGUUUACAGAGAAAUUUGAAAGCAAACAAAGAAAGGAUACUGCUGCUGACCAAAGAAAAGACUAAACUUGAGAAUGACAUUAUGGACAUGACAAAGUCAUCAGGAGACAGUUCUACUGUAAUAACAAAGCUGACUGAGGAUAUCAAGCAGAAAGAAAGGAGACUAGACGAGCUUCAGAACCAGCUUGAAGAGGAGAGGGAGAAGGCAGCUCAGGUUGAGGAGAAACGGUCUCAAGCACAAGUCCAGGCUGAGAAUGAAGCCAAAAGCCUUGAGAAGAGACACCAAGCAGAGCUUUCCAUCCUGCAGGAGAGGAUCAAGCUUUUGGAGAAGGGUGCUGAAGACAAUCAGUCUAAAUCCAAAGACAUGCUUGCUUUGGGAGAGAAAGCACUUGCAGAUGCUGUGGAACAGCAUACAAAAGAAAUGCAGGAACUAAACAGCAAGUUUGAAAAAGUGCAACAGGAGCUUCAAGUGUCUCAGGAUGAAAGCCUGGAGCUGAGGAAACAGAUUGAGGAGUUGAAGACCAUUAAAGAAAAAGCUACGGUCUCAGAGAAAGCAGAACAGACUGCACAGGCUUCACUGGACAGCCUGACCCAGGAGAACCAACAACUUCGGAAAGACAAGUCUGAGGCUGAGGCCCUGGUAACGCAGCUCAAGAACUCAAUGCAAGAAAUGCAGUGCAAGCUGGAUGCUUUUAAGCAGCAGAACUCGCAGUAUCAAGAGGAUCUGAGUUCUGACAGUCAGAAGAUCAGCAGCCUCAGUAAAGAGAUUGAGGAGUUGAAACAAGCAGACACUGAAAAAGCCCAGGCAGUUGAGGCUCUGAAAAAUGUGAAGGAAAAGCUAACACUGGAACUUGCCAGCAGCCACAAAGACAGUAACAUUCUUCUAAAUCUCAAAAAGGAGUGUGACAGUCUCAACGACCAAUUGAAGGAGAUGAAAAUGAGGGAAAGCACUUUCAAAAGUGAAUCAGAAAAGGAGAAAUCAGCACUUCAGCAGUCUCUUCAAACACAGAGUGCCUUGAUCUCAGAAAAGGACAAGGAAUUAGACUCUCUAAGAAAUGAGCUGGAUGCUUUGAAGCAGCAGAACUUGCAGUAUCAAGAGAAUCUGAGUUCUGACAGUCAGAAUAUCAGCAGCCUCAGUAAAGAGAUUGAGGAGCUGAAACAAGCUACUGCUGAAAAAGCCCAGGCAGUGGAGGCUCUGAAAAAUGAGAAGGAAAAGUUAACCGUGGAACUUGCCAGCAGCCACAAAGACAGUAACAUUCUGCUAAAUCUCAAAAAGGAGUGCGACAACCUUAAUGGACAAUUGAAGGAGAUGAAAAUGAGGGAAAGCACUUUAACAAGUGAAUCAGAAAAGGAGAAAGCAGCACUUCAGCAGUCUCUCCAAACACAGAGUGCCUUGAUCUCAGAAAAGGACAAAGAAUUAGACUCUCUGAGAAAUGAGUUCAAAAAGAAGUGUGACAGCCUCAAUAGUCAAUUGAAGAAGAUAAAAAUGAGGGAAAGCACUUUAACAAAAGAAACAGAAAAAGAGAAGGAAGCACUACAGCAAUCUCUCCAAACACAGAGUGCCUUGAUCUCAGAGAAGGACAAAGAAUUAGACUCUCUGAGAAACGAGAUAGCAGGUCUGCGUGAUACGACACAGGUGCUGCAGUCCAAUCUGAAAUCUCACAAGAGUGAGAAUACUUUGCUGCAGGAGCGAGUGAAGAAUCUGGAGACGAGUUUAGCUGACGCUCAGAUCACCAGCAAAGGAGAUGAUGCCUCAGAUGAUUCUGCUUUAAGAAUGUGGAAGGAGGCCAAGGAGAAUGCUGAGCGGCAGGUUGAAUUCCUGAACUCCGUUAUUGUGGAACUUCAGCGGAAGAACGAAGACCUAAAAUCGAAACUAGAGAAGAUGGCUGAAGCAGCGCUCAAUGGAAAUGGUGCAACUGAAAUGGACAGUCAUAACAGUCACACCGAGCCGACGAUUAAAAAGAAACCCCCUCCCCGUCUCUUCUGUGACAUAUGUGACUGCUUUGACCUACACGACACAGAGGACUGUCCCACACAGGACCAGAUGCUAGAUUCCCCGCCACACACCACCUAUCAUGGCAGUCCCAAUGAUGAAAGACCUUACUGUGACAUCUGUGAGGCCUUCGGCCACUGGACUGAGUCCUGCAAUGACGAUCAAACUUUCUAGGGUCCUGCUUCCAUGAUCCCGCAACAUUUGUACUUGCAAUACUAUGCCUUGAAUCAAACAGUGCACAAAAGACUAUUGUAAGUUUGUAUGGUUUUUCCACUCGUGUGUUUACCACCAUGUACGCCUAAAACUUUGUCACAUAAAAGCAAGCAUCUGUAGUUUACUCGGUGGCAAUUUUACCUUCCUCUAUUGCACUGAAUGACUGUUAGGAGGAAAGAGUGUUUUAAGUUCACUUUGAAAGAACCUUGUAGUGAAUGCUCAUUCUUUAUAUGGUGGUAGAGGUGAUUAACCAUGAAAUCUGGAAUUGACAGUUCUCUUAUAUGCUUAAAAGGUUGUAUAUCUUUAAACAUCAGUGCUGACCUCUAGUGGAAGGGAGGCUUGACUUCUCAACAGCCUUUCACAUAUCAACGAGUUUGGAUUCUGUAAGAGAAGUAUUAAUAUAAAAAGUAAGUUAUUCUAGAAUUGUUAAAAUUUCUAAAUGUAUAUGCAAAAAAAUACAUAAGUAUGUUUCAAUCAUUUAUUAUCUUUAAGAAUGACUGUUAGAAAAAUUGUAACUUUUGCCCGAAAAGAAAUGGAGAAAAAAAGAACCACCAUCUUACUGUUUUUGUUCCUUCAAAAUCAACAUGUGUUUCCCAGGUUGUUUGCGAGACAUUUAUUUGUACAAAUACCAAAAGGGGGGACAUUUUUUUUGAAAAUAAACUUCAAGAAAUAUCUUUUAAGUGCAAAAAAUAUUCUUUGUUGUGUUGUAUGUUAAUGCCAAUGUGCUGCUCUAAAAAAAAAAAAGUGUGUAUGGCCCUAAAGAGCAUCCUGAGCUGUCUGCAGAAAAUGUAGGGCUAUUUGGCUCUUGUCCGAGCCACACAUUGUUUUUGACAAUGAAACUGCCUGACAAAUGAAGCAGUGAGUUACAAUAAACAUUGUUUUCAAAUAAG